UGCCAGCGGGUCAGGCCGGGAACUUUAGGGAGACUGCCGGUGACAAACCGGAGGAAGGUGGGGAUGACGUCAAGUCAUCAUGGCCCUCACGGGGUGGGCUACAAACGUGCUACAAUGGGCGGCACAGAGGGCUGCGAACCAGCAAUGGCAAGCGAAUCCCAAAAAACCGCUCGUAGUCCGGAUAGGAGUCUGCAACUCGACUCCUUGAAGUCGGAAUCGCUAGUAAUCGCGAAUCANAAUGUCGCGGUGAAUACGUUCCCGGGCCUUGUACACA
rnacentral:rRNA from 1 species